rnacentral:tRNA from 1 species
CAUUAAGAAACUUUAAAGAAGUAAAAGUCUCUUAAACUUUUAAUGGUUACUUAAUAAUUAACCCUUAAUGA